UACGUAGGGUGCAAGCGUUGUCCGGAAUUAUUGGGCGUAAAGAGCUCGUAGGCGGUUUGUCGCGUCUGCUGUGAAAACUCAGGGCUUAACCCUGAGCCUGCAGUGGGUACGGGCAGACUAGAGUGUGGUAGGGGAGAUCGGAAUUCCUGGUGUAGCGGUGAAAUGCGCAGAUAUCAGGAGGAACACCGGUGGCGAAGGCGCCACUCUGGGCCGAAACUGACGCUGAGGAGCGAAAGCGUGGGUAGCAAACAGG
rnacentral:rRNA from 1 species